rnacentral:rRNA from 1 species
UACGAAGGGGGCUAGCGUUGCUCGGAAUUACUGGGCGUAAAGCGCACGUAGGCGGAUUGUUAAGUCGGGGGUGAAAUCCUGGAGCUCAACUCCAGAACUGCCUUCGAUACUGGCGAUCUAGAGUCCGGGAGAGGUGAGUGGAACUGCGAGUGUAGAGGUGAAAAUUCGUAGAUAUUCGCAAGAACACCAGUGGCGAAGGCGGCUCACUGGCCCGGUACUGACGCUGAGGUGCGAAAGCGUGGGGAGCAAACAGG